CUGGCUUCUGAGGUCUUGAAGGUAACCCUGAGACUGAGCUAGGAACAGCAGGAGUUCGCCUCCUUUCUCUUCUCUCACCAGACUAGUUACCUGUGUAGUAACUCUGCGAAGGGUUUCCCUAAGAUGAUCACGAUUUUAUUCAUCCAUCUCAUCCUGAAAAACUGUUGACUUGGACUUUAAUCUUUACAUUGUGAUUGCAGAGUAUAAUCCCACGGAGCAGAAGGGGCUGGGAGCUACCCAAGAUCUCUCCAUUAAGACACUAGCUCCACUAUGAAGGCAGCAUCCUCAGGACUUCACUGCUGAAACCUCACCUAACGCGAU
rnacentral:lncRNA from 1 species